rnacentral:rRNA from 1 species
UACCAGCACCCCGAGUGGUCGGGACGUUUAUUGGGCCUAAAGCAUCCGUAGCCGGUCCUACAAGUCUUCCGUUAAAUCCACCUGCUCAACAGAUGGGUUGCGGAAGAUACUAUAGGGCUAGGAGGCGGGAGAGGCAAGCGGUACUCAGUGGGUAGGGGUAAAAUCCGUUGAUCCAUUGAAGACCACCAGUGGCGAAGGCGGCUUGCCAGAACGCGCUCGACGGUGAGGGAUGAAAGCUGGGGGAGCAAACAGG